UCUUGUCCUAAUGCAUAACCUUGUAUCCAUGCAGUCCUUCCAAUUCUUCUUUACUCCAGUCAAGAAAUGCUGCAGAAUAUCUUUAUAAGGAUAUUUCCCAUGUAUUUCUUCCGAAUUAUAAUAUUAAUCUCUCCAUUCAUCUUUGUUUUCAGAAACUUCUUGAUCCUCCGCUUGUAUUCUUUGUCAAUUUUUUCUUCCAUUCCUUUCUUCUUGAAAUCGAUUACAUCAAGUAUUACGCUUACUUCUGUUACUUAUAUUUAGUCUAGAC